ensembl:lncRNA
CUCGCCGCGCGGCCGCUAGCCAUGUGCACAUGCGCACCGACUGCCCGCCAUGUUGGCGCUGUCGGUGACGUGCUGUGCCGGGGGGCGGUACCGGGCGCGGGGUCGCGCUCGGGACUUUGGGGACGCGCUGGAGCGGGGCCCGCGGCGGGGCCGGGCUGGCGCAGCCCGCAGAUGUCAAAAUUAACCUGGACCACUUGGGAAUGGCGAAACACAGCCCUGGGAUCCUGCCAUGAACAGUAAGAAAGUUGAGAUGCUUUGUGUAUACAAAUAAUAAUGUUUUCUAAUGGCUAAACCUCAGUGAAACUGUUCCUGUUCCAUUAACAUAACUGGGCAACAAUUUGUGUAGCUGAAUGUGAAUGUGGUCCCAGCUUUUCAUGCAGGAAAGAGGGAGUGCAUCAGUAGAGAGGGCGCUGUUUGGGAAGCAAUACUGGGAAGGCUUUGGAGGAGGGAAGGCUGCUAUGGUGCAGUGUUGUCCUGUUCCUGCUGCUCCUGGAUCAGCUGCUGUUCGACAGGAAGCCUGGCUGAGUAGGUCUUUGGCCUUCCAUAUUUGACUUCCUUCUAUGAAACUUAGUAUUCAGUAGGUGUUGAUUAAAUGUUUCAUGUAUCCAAGAAAGCAGCCACCUUUAAAAAUAUCCUCAGGUGUUGGUAGCAUGAAACUUUCUAGUUUGAAGGAUACAUAAAUAUUUCAGUAUGUGCAUGCUCUGUAUUCUUUAUAUAGCCCUUGCAGAUGUUGCAGAAGGCAUCCUUGCAUCAACUGGGGCCUUGAAAAUUAUCUGAUGAAUUUUCCAAGUAUGGAAUAGAUGACUUAAGAGAGCCUGUGUGGGUGAGUAGUGUGCUGGUAAAGUGCGAAUGUUCAGCAGAUGCUGUUGAUGCUGUUUGUCAGCCUUGGCUAGAACAGAAAUGAGGCGGCUUUUGUAUUGUCAUGAUUUGGAAAUAGGCAGUUGGAAUUGAACAGCUCUUGGGAACUCUUGUAUCUACACAGCAGUUUAAUGCUUAAUAUGCAAAUGUUCAGAUGAGAAAGAUUGCAUUUUCUUUUGUAGAGCUUAUUGACCAUGUCAUUGAAUUCUUCCAUGGGACAGUGUUUUAGCCAGGGCUGCCUGCCUGACUUGCACUGUUCAUGGCUUGAAAAUCUGAGCCCUCUCCUUUUAUGAAAUACUGUAAUUGGUAAAUUGCUGGGGAGCAAAUUGUGUGGCCUUUGGCAGUUGUUAGAACAAUUGAUAAAGACCCAGGAAGCUCUUCAGUUCUGUGUAAACGCCAGUGUACAGAACACAAGGAGAUCCUGUAAGGCUGAUGGCUUUCAGCUUCUUGAGAAACUUGUGUAGAUUAGCUGAGAAGGUAAGUGUAUGUUUCUGUAGAUUGUUGAGUGGCUUUGAUAUCUUACUAGAAUGCAGCUAAAGCUUCAGUUGACUUUUCCUGAGCCUGGAUAGACUGAGCUGACAAUUCAAACUGUGCAUUCAUUCCUUUGAAAGAGUCCUGUUUAGCAGCCUUCACCCUUUGAAAGGUAGGGAGGAAACUUGGCUGCUCGCAGGUUUGCUCUGACAAAUCCUAGGGAUUCUUAUGGAGUCAAGAGCAAAUGUAAUAUCAGAGGGUAACUGUGAAUGUGCAGUGUAGUGAAGAGGAAUUUUGACAGUGGAAAUGAUUCUUGGUACAAGUUGGGACAUCCAAGAAUGAUCGUGGGUUUUUUGUUUCUUGCCUAUCAGUUAUCUAAAAGUUGUGUGGCUUUUGGCUUCUCUUUUUGAGGUGGUUGCUGGAGCCAGAAGAGCUGGGCUGCUGUUGUACUGGUGUUCAAGGUCC